AUGAGCGUAGCGAGCAGGGAAGCCUUGCCAAAAGCCGGAGCAGCAGGUGGCGUUGGUGAUGGACGUAUGGAAGGGCGAAAAGGAGAAGGGGCCAAGGAAAUGAUGGGCGAGACCGCGAGGGAGAGGAGGAUGAGAUGCCUCGUCCUGCAGCAACAGCAGCCUCACCAAUCACCAACAAUCCACCAGGCAAUGAUCGAUGAUGAUUCUUUCUUAAUUAUCCUAGCUAGUGAUGUUUCCUGCGUGUGUGAGCAGCCGGCCAUCCACUUCCCUACCCCAAUAUCCUAUCACCUCAUCUGGGGAUGA
rnacentral:rRNA from 1 species